CCAGGUUCAAGUACGUAGGCGGAAAGUUUAGGUAAAUCCGGACUUUCUUAACGCUUGAGAUACGAUGUGAGCUACUACGGUAGUGAAGUCAUUGAUGCCAUGCUUCCAGGAAAAGCCUCUAAGCUUCAGAUUGUAAGGAAUCGUACCCCAAACCGACACAGGUGGUCGGGUAGAGAAUACCAAGGCGCUUGAGAGAACUCGGGUGAAGGAACUAGGCAAAAUGGUACCGUAACUUCGGGAGAAGGUACGCUCUUAUCAGUGAAGUCCCUUGCGGAUGGAGCAGACGAGAGUCGCAGAUACCAGGUGGCUGCAACUGUUUAUUAAAAACACAGCACUGUGCAAAAUCGUAAGAUGACGUAUACGGUGUGACGCCUGCCCGGUGCCGGAAGGUUAAUUGAUGGGGUUAGACUUCGGUCGAAGCUCUUGAUCGAAGCCCCGGUAAACGGCGGCCGUAACUAUAACGGUCCUAAGGUAGCGAAAUUCCUUGUCGGGUAAGUUCCGACCUGCACGAAUGGCGUAAUGAUGGCCACGCUGUCUCCACCCGAGACUCAGUGAAAUUGAAAUCGCUGUGAAGAUGCAGUGUACCCGCGGCUAGACGGAAAGACCCCGUGAACCUUUACUACAGCUUGGCACUGAACAUUGAACCUACAUGUGUAGGAUAGGUGGGAGACUAUGAAAUUGCGUCGCUAGAUGUGAUGGAGUCGUCCUUGAAAUACCACCCUUGUAGUUUUGAUGUUCUAACGUUGGUCCCUGAAUCGGGAUUACGGACAGUGCCUGGUGGGUAGUUUGACUGGGGCGGUCUCCUCCCAAAGAGUAACGGAGGAGCACGAAGGUGGGCUAAACACGGUUGGACAUCGUGUGGUUAGUGCAAUGGCAUAAGCCCGCUUGACUGCGAGAAUGACAAUUCGAGCAGGUGCGAAAGCAGGUCAUAGUGAUCCGGUGGUUCUGAAUGGAAGGGCCAUCGCUCAACGGAUAAAAGGUACUCCGGGGAUAACAGGCUGAUACCGCCCAAGAGUUCAUAUCGACGGCGGUGUUUGGCACCUCGAUGUCGGCUCAUCACAUCCUGGGGCUGAAGUCGGUCCCAAGGGUAUGGCUGUUCGCCAUUUAAAGUGGUACGCGAGCUGGGUUUAGAACGUCGUGAGACAGUUCGGUCCCUAUCUGCCGUGGGCGUUGGAAAAUUGAAAGGGGCUGCUCCUAGUACGAGAGGACCGGAGUGGACGAACCUCUGGUGUUCGGGUUGUCAUGCCAAUGGCAUUGCCCGGUAGCUAAGUUCGGAAUCGAUAACCGCUGAAAGCAUCUAAGCGGGAAGCGAGCCUUGAGAUGAGUUUUCCCUGGCACUAUAAGUGUCCUAAAGGGUUGUCGUAGACUACGACGUUGAUAGGCAGGGUGUGUAAGUGCUGCGAGGCAUUGAGCUAACCUGUACUAAUUGCCCGUGAGGCUUAACCAUACAACACCCAAGGGGUUU
rnacentral:rRNA from 1 species